CUACGGGAGGCAGCAGUAGGGAAUCUUCCGCAAUGGACGAAAGUCUGACGGAGCAACGCCGCGUGAGUGAAGAAGGUUUUCGGAUCGUAAAACUCUGUUGUUAGGGAAGAACACGUACGAGAGUAACUGCUCGUACCUUGACGGUACCUAACCAGAAAGCCACGGCUAACUACGUGCCAGCAGCCGCGGUAAUACGUAGGUGGCAAGCGUUGUCCGGAAUUAUUGGGCGUAAAGCGCGCGCAGGUGGUUCUUUAAGUCUGAUGUGAAAGCCCCCGGCUCAACCGGGGAGGGUCAUUGGAAACUGGGGAACUUGAGUGCAGGAGAGGAAAGUGGAAUUCCACGUGUAGCGGUGAAAUGCGUAGAUAUGUGGAGGAACACCAGUGGCGAAGGCGACUUUCUGGCCUGUAACUGACACUGAGGCGCGAAAGCGUGGGGAGCAAACAGGAUUAGAUACCCUGGUAGUCCACGCCGUAAACGAUGAGUGCUAAGUGUUGGGGGGUUUCCGCCCCUCAGUGCUGCAGCUAACGCAUUAAGCACUCCGCCUGGGGAGUACGGUCGCAAGACUGAAACUCAAAGGAAUUGACGG
rnacentral:rRNA from 1 species